rnacentral:tRNA from 1 species
GGUCCCGUAGCUCAGCUGGACAGAGCGGCGGUUUCCUAAACCGUAGGUCGGAGGUUCGAGCCCUCCCGGGAUCACCA